AACGAACGCUGGCGGCAGGCUUAACACAUGCAAGUCGAACGGGCACCUUCGGGUGUCAGUGGCAGACGGGUGAGUAACGCGUGGGAACGUGCCCUUUGGUUCGGAACAACCCAGGGAAACUUGGACUAAUACCGGAUACGCCCGAGAGGGGAAAGAUUUAUCGCCAAAGGAGCGGCCCGCGUCUGAUUAGCUUGUUGGUGAGGUAACGGCUCACCAAGGCGACGAUCAGUAGCUGGUCUGAGAGGAUGAUCAGCCACACUGGGACUGAGACACGGCCAGACUCCUACGGGAGGCAGCAGUGGGGAAUAUUGGACAAUGGGCGCAAGCCUGAUCCAGCCAUG
rnacentral:rRNA from 1 species